rnacentral:lncRNA from 1 species
GGCUGUAAAUUAUCAGACUGACAGAGAGGGAAGAUAUUUAUAUUGUUCUUAUCAAUUAAACAUCUUUGAUUUUAGAGUCAAAGCCUUUAGUGAAGUCUUUCAGAACAGUUAAACACUGUUCAUGUCUCCUGACUUACUCUCAUUAAGCAUUUAAACACUCCACAGGGAGAAAUUGUGUUCCCAACAUCAGUGAUUCACAGUUCCCGAUGUUAACGCUCAUACUCUUUAAAAAGAUCCGUCACAGUAAAUAUCUGCUCUAAAAGGAAGGGUGGGCUGGGAUUACCCAAGUUCUAUGUUGAAUAAGGCGCUGGCUCUUCCUCUUCAGCAGGCAUCAGGUUCAGCUGGCAGUGGGUAUGUGAAAACAGACGACUGGCUCCCACCUCCAGAGUUUCUAAAUCGGCCACCAGCUGCCUCCCCUUCUAGUGGAGGCUGGUAAGAAACAACCGAAGGGCAGACACGCUCGCAGUGCCAGUUGUAAUUCAUGCCUCCAGACUUCUCCCAGAUUCAAGUCACCAGGUCCAGCCCACACUCCAGAGAAGGAGAUUGCACAAGGACAGAUGGAGAUCUUCAGAGAGCAUCUGACAAGCCACCCUACUAUGCUGCAAUUAAGUGCAAGAAUCAGGAUUUGAAUCCAAGUAUUUGGACAGCAGAGCCCAUUCUCCUAGGUGUGCCAAUGGUUCAAAGCCGCCUCUGCCCUCUCGGUGCUGGAGCACAUUGCAGUCAGCUGACUAUAGGACUCUUUAUUUCUAACCUUCUACUUCUGCAAACCCACAUCUAAUAAACAGAAUCUUCUGUAGAAGAUUUAGAAUAUUGAUCAGGUUAUAGUCAAAUUUCCACUUGAUCAUCACUUUAAGCUGAUUUUACUUGUAUCUGUCACAAGGCAUGAUGCAUACAUUUUUAUCUUUUAACUCCUAAAUGAAGAUCUUUUUCCUGGAUUAUUUAGUCUCCUCAAAUCAAUUAUUUGGAACACAAAUCAUUUCUAAAGUAAAACAUAUUUCCUAUGUUAAACACUAAUUUUUAAUACCAAGAAAAUAAUUCUAGAUUAAAUAUAGUGAUCAAUCUAAAUUAAUCUUUUACUAAUACAAGGCAGUUUUAUAUUUCCAUAUAUAUUAUAAAGUUAAACAUAAUCCUUAAUUACUAUUACUUUCCAAACUGUAAUGGCACAUGAGUAUCUGCACAGAUAUGCAAGUUGAACUGUAUGUAUCAUUAAAGACAAGAGGAAAUUAUUAAGUCUUAUAACAGUAAUCUUUUAAGUUCUCCUUUCCUCUUAUUUAUUUUUCUUAAUGCACAAUGUGAAUAUUCAUUAAAUAAUCAGAGCCCAUAUCCAAAGGUAUCAGAAUUUUGCCAGUGGAUAUGCAUUAAAUAUUUCCCACUGAAUUAUAUUAUAAUAUUUUAAACAGUUUUUCUAUUUUCAAAUCAUUUUCAGUUCAUGGAGAUUUCAAAUAUCUCAGGUUUAGGCUCUUCCGCCCCCCAGGCUCAGACUCUCAUUGAAGUGAAUCCUGAUUUAUACAUAAACAGCUAGACUAGUGGAGCGUCUAUUUAUAAAACUUUACAGUGGUUCAACUAUAAGACAAAGCAUUCCCACUUAACCUAUUUGUCUAUAAAUGCAAAUUUCUGUCUUUCAAGUCUGAAAGCAGAAUAAACCUAUUGUUAAGAACAGACUCUGAAACACGAAAAUGCUAUAUUUCUCCAGUAAAUUUUAACAGGUCAAUCCAAAUUGUUAUUGCUUGCUUUUAAAAGGAAAUCAUCAAAGAGCUCCACAUUUCUGAAUAAUCUCUUUAGAUUUGUGGUAUUUCAUGUCAACAUUCAGACUAUUUGUACAGCUCCCCUUUAAUUUUAUUCUAUCCCUUGAGCUUUCCCAAGUCUCCUAAUUUUCU